CUUCUAGCGAGGUUCUAGCCGCCCGUACCCCAAACCGACUCAGGUGGUUAGGUAGAGAAUACCAAGGCGAUCGAGUGAAUCGUGGUUAAGGAAUUCGGCAAAAUACCCCCGUAACUUCGGGAGAAGGGGGGCCCAGAGGGUGACGGGACUUGCUCCCCGAGCCUGAACGGCCGCAGAGACCAGGGAGAAGCGACUGUUUACUAAAAACACAGGUCCGUGCCAAGUCGCAAGACGAUGUAUACGGACUGACGCCUGCCCGAUGCUGGAACGUUAAGGGGACCGGUUAGCCUCAUGGCGAAGCUGAGAACUUAAGCGCCAGUAAACGGCGGUGGUAACUAUAACCAUCCUAAGGUAGCGAAAUUCCUUGUCGGGUAAGUUCCGACCUGCACGAAUGGCGUAACGACUUCUCCACUGUCUCAACCACGAACUCGGCGAAAUUGCACUACGAGUAAAGAUGCUCGUUACGCGCAGAAGGACGGAAAGACCCCGGGACCUUUACUACAGCUUGGUAUUGGUGUUCGGUACGGCUUGUGUAGGAUAGGUGGGAGACUGUGAAGCUGACACGCCAGUGUCGGUGGAGUCAACGUUGAAAUACCACUCUGGUCGUUCUGGAUAUCUAACCUAGGUCCGUAAUCCGGAUCAGGGACAGUGCCUGGUGGGUAGUUUAACUGGGGCGGUUGCCUCCUAAAAGGUAACGGAGGCGCCCAAAGGUUCCCUCAGCCUGGUUGGCAAUCAGGUUUCGAGUGUAAGUGCACAAGGGAGCUUGACUGUGAGACUGACAAGUCGAACAGGGACGAAAGUCGGGACUAGUGAUCCGGCGGUGGCUUGUGGAAGCGCCGUCGCUCAACGGAUAAAAGGUACCCCGGGGAUAACAGGCUGAUCUUGCCCAAGAGUCCAUAUCGACGGCAUGGUUUGGCACCUCGAUGUCGGCUCGUCGCAUCCUGGGGCUGGAGUAGGUCCCAAGGGUUGGGCUGUUCGCCCAUUAAAGCGGUACGCGAGCUGGGUUUAGAACGUCGUGAGACAGUUCGGUCCCUAUCCUCUGCGCGCGCAGGAAACUUGAGAAGGGCUGUCCCUAUUACGAGAGGACCGGGAUGGACGAACCUCUGGUGUGUCAGUUGUUCUGCCAAGAGCACCGCUGAUUAGCUACGUUCGGGAGUGAUAACCGCUGAAAGCAUCCAAGCGGGAAGCAUGCUUCAAGAUGAGGUUUCCAUGGGGUUUACCCCGAGAGGCUCCCAGCUAGACUACUGGGUUGAUAGGCCGGAUGUGGAAGUGCGGUAACGCAUGGAGCUGACCGGUACUAAUAAGCCGAUAACUUGGC
rnacentral:rRNA from 1 species